rnacentral:rRNA from 1 species
GUGCCAGCCGCCGCGGUAAUACGGAGGGUGCAAGCGUUGUCCGGAAUCACUGGGCGUAAAGGGUGCGUAGGUGGCGAGGUAAGUCGGAUGUGAAAUCUCCAAGCUCAACUUGGAAACUGCAUUCGAUACUGCUUUGCUAGAGGAUUGUAGAGGGCAUUGGAAUUCACGGUGUAGCAGUGAAAUGCGUAGAUAUCGUGAGGAAGACCAGUGGCGAAGGCGAAUGCCUGGGCAAUUCCUGACACUGAGGCACGAAGGCCAGGGGAGCAAACAGGAUUAGAAACCCGGUGUCC